rnacentral:tRNA from 1 species
GCGUCGUUAGCUCAGAGGUAGAGCAAAUGGCUUUUAACCAUUGGGUCAUAGGUUCAAAUCCUAUACGAUGCA